ACUGAUCUUAUCUGGGCCGCCCGGUCGCAGUUGACCCUUCUCUCUCCCGUCACCGACGACCACGCAUCGGGCGGAGGCGAUGGAGAGCACCGUGGAGGCACUGAGCGCUGCCUAUGACGAGUUCGUAGCUGCGGCGGCGGCCGCCCUGGAGGCAAAGGAGCAGUCCGGCGGGCAGAAGACGCCCGUCACCGACGCCGCGCUCGAGGCCUUCAAGCAGCGGUGGGAACUCUUCCGCGUCGCCUGCGACCAGGCCGAGGAGUUCGUCGAGUCCAUGAAGCAGCGCAUCGGCUCCGAGUGCUUAGUCGACGAGGCAACCGGCGCCGCCCCCUCCAAGGCUGGCCGCCCUGCCACGGCACCCGGGAUCCCGCCCAUCAGCGCCGUCCGGCUCGAGCAGAUGAGCAAGGCCGUCAGGUGGCUCGUCAUCGAGCUCCAGAACGGGUCCGGGGUUGGCGCAGCCGCCGCCGCUGCGGCCCAUCCCCAUGUUUCCGCGCCCUUCGACGCCCGGUUCUCCGAGGACGCCGGGCAAUAGGUGCGCGUGAUCCCUUGUUAGGUGAGAGGAAGAGGCAAAAUGGUGUUCUCGGAGACAGGACAGCAUCUGCAUUCAGUAUUCAUGCAGAUAAUCUACUCAUAAGAAGAACAAAAAAAGUUAGCGUCCGAUCCAUCCAGAACGGAUAAUUCUUUGCGGCUCGAAGUGCUUAUUCCAGUGAUAACUUUAGAUGGCACUAAUUGAAUAUGAUUGUCUGGAAGUUUAGCAUGCACCUGGACAUUUCAACAGCCUCUCUAUCGGUGCCUCGGUAAGCUCCAUCCAACUCGGCCAUCAUGAAAUUCUUGGUCAAUCUGUUGAUUCCAAUUCCUUCCGUUAUAGUAUCAAAAGGGUUCUUCAGGCGCCGGCCCUCUGCCUCCUCCUUCGUAUACAUUACUCCUCUCGUGACCUUAUUGAACAGACCAGACCCCGGGGGAUCAAUAAGGAAGCACUUAAUAUUUGGAUUUUUUUCCUGGAUAAGAAAACAUCAAGAUAGUAGAAGGAUAAAAAAGAAGAGCAAAGCAUUAGAUAUAGCAUAAAAUCUAAUGUACAAACAAUGAUGAACCUUGAGAAACUGUGAUAUUCCAGCAAUCGUGCCACCUGUACCGGCAGCAGCAACAAAGGCAUGCAAUUUCCCUUGAGUUUGCUCCCAUAUCUCAGGACCAGUCCAUUCAUAGUGGGCCCUGAAGUUUGCUAGGUUUUCAAACUGAUCAGCAAAGAAACCACCUUUAUUAUCA